rnacentral:rRNA from 1 species
UACAGAGGGUGCAAGCGUUGUUCGGAAUUAUUGGGCGUAAAGCGCGUGUAGGCGGCCUAGCAAGUUGGGUGUGAAAGCCCUCGGCUUAACCGAGGAAGUGCGCCCAAAACUACUAGGCUUGAGUACCGGAGAGGAUGGCGGAAUUCCCGGUGUAGAGGUGAAAUGCGCAGAUAUCGGGAAGAACACCCGUGGCGAAGGCGGCUCUCUGGGACGGUACUGACGCUGAGACGCGAAAGCGUGGGGAGCGAACAGG